rnacentral:pre_miRNA from 1 species
UAUAUGAAUAUGGGUGGGCAGUGUAUGUAUGUAUGUAUAUAUAUAUAUACAUACAUACACUGCUACACUGCCCACCCAUAUUCAUACAC